rnacentral:rRNA from 1 species
AUUGAACGCUGGCGGAAUGCUUUACACAUGCAAGUCGAACGAUGAACCUUAGCUUGCUAAGGGGAUUAGUGGCGAACGGGUGAGUAAUGUAUCGGAACGUAUCCAAUAAUGGGGGAUAACUAGUCGAAAGAUUAGCUAAUACCGCAUACGUCCUACGGGAGAAAGCUAGGGACCUUCGGGCCUGGCGUUAAUGGAGCGGCCGAUAUCUGAUUAGCUAGUUGGUGGGGUAAAGGCUCACCAAGGCGACGAUCAGUAGCUGGUCUGAGAGGACGACCAGCCACACUGGAACUGAGACACGGUCCAGACUCCUACGGGAGGCAGCAGUGGGGAAUUUUGGACAAUGGGCGAAAGCCUGAUCCAGCCAUUCCGCGUGAGUGAAGAAGGCCUUCGGGUUGUAAAGCUCUUUCGCAAGAGAAGAAAACUUAAGCUCUAACAUAGCUUGAGGUUGACGGUACCUUGAUAAGAAGCACCGGCUAACUACGUGCCAGCAGCCGCCGUAA